rnacentral:rRNA from 1 species
UACGUAGGGUGCAAGCGUUAAUCGGAAUUACUGGGCGUAAAGCGUGCGCAGGCGGUUAUGUAAGACAGAUGUGAAAUCCCCGGGCUCAACCUGGGAACUGCAUUCGAGACUGCGUAGCUAGGGUGCGGAAGAGGGAAGCGGAAUUUCCGGUGUAGCGGUGAAAUGCGUAGAUAUCGGAAGGAACACCAGUGGCGAAAGCGGCUUCCUGGUCCAGCACCGACGUUCAGGCACGAAAGCGUGGGGAGCAAACAGG